AAACAACAAAGAACUGCAGGCACUGGAAAUUCAAGCAUUUGACCCAGCACGGAUGGAAAAUGUACAAGGAAGGAGCUGGCUGGAUUCGAACCCAGGACCAUUAACCUCGAAGACUGGUCCUGAUGCCACUAUGCCACCGGACGACACAGGGGGUCAGUGUGGACAUGGUGGAGGAUUACAAAUACCUGGGGAUACGAAUUGACAAUAAACUGGACUGGUCAAAGAACACUGAGGCUGUCUACAAGAAUGG